UACGUAGGGGGCAAGCGUUGUCCGGAUUUAUUGGGCGUAAAGAGCGUGUAGGCGGCCUGACAGGUCUGCUGUGAAAACUCGAGGCUCAACCUCGAGAUGUCGGCGGAAACCGUCUGGCUAGAGUCCGGAAGAGGAGAGUGGAAUUCCUGGUGUAGCGGUGAAAUGCGCAGAUAUCAGGAAGAACACCUAUGGCGAAGGCAGCUCUCUGGCCCGGUACUGACGCUGAGGCACGAAAGCGUGGGGAGCAAACAGG
rnacentral:rRNA from 1 species